UACGUAGGGUGCAAGCGUUAAUCGGAAUUACUGGGCGUAAAGCGUGCGCAGGCGGUCUUGCAAGCCCGGUGUGAAAUCCCCGGGCUUAACCUGGGAACUGCACUUGUGACUGCAAGGCUGGAGUACGGCAGAGGGGGAUGGAAUUCCGCGUGUAGCAGUGAAAUGCGUAGAUAUGCGGAGGAACACCGAUGGCGAAGGCAAUCCCCUGGGCCUGUACUGACGCUCAUGCACGAAAGCGUGGGGAGCAAACAGG
rnacentral:rRNA from 1 species